rnacentral:tRNA from 1 species
GGUGAGGUGCCUGAGAGGCCGAAAGGAACAGUUUGCUAAACUGUCGUACGAGUAAUCGUACCGUGGGUUCGAAUCCCACCAUCACCG